UGGCGGCGGCGAUUCUUCUUCCAUGGUUGUUCGUGGUGGUUGGAGGUGGAUAAGGGAAUGACACAGCGCGGGAGGUACGAAAAAAAAAAAUGAAAGAAUAUGAAACUGCAGAGUUUAGGAAUAAAACAAUAUCAUGAGGAAUUUUAUUUUCUUGUUGCUCAAUGGUAACAUUCAAGCAAGCUAUUAGACUAAUCAGUACUUUGC